AGUGCAGCAACUGUGCACUGUAAAGUCAGGGAGGGAAAUGAGUAAGCGAGACCGGAGGCCAGCAAAACCACUGAAAGGGUGGCCACAGAGCCGCACGCGCUGUCUCUCGGCAGCCCCACCCCUGUCCGGCGGAGGAGGGCCGGGUUAGGAGCUGCCCCGCUGGCCUGGGACGCUGAUCCCAGGACGGGUUAGGAGGAGCUUCUCAUUGCUCCACAGAGCCACCACUAAUUGAGUGGGUUUGGAUCCAAGUUCUGGAAUAUUGGGAUGAACUUGUAGAACUGUCAGCUAUACCUACACCAUGCCUGCCUGGAUGUUGCCAUGCUCCCACCUUGAUGAAACAAUGGAGUGAACCUCUGAACCUAAAGGAGCAUGCUAUCCUCUGAGAGGCUCCACCCAGCAGCUGAUGCAGACAGAUGCAGAUACCCACAGCUAAACAGUGGAUGGAACUUGGUGACUCUUAUGGAAGACUAGGAGGAAGGAUUGUGGGCCCUGAAGGGGAUAGGAACUCCACAGGAAAACCAACAGAGUCAACUAACCAGGGCCCUUGGGGCUCUCAGAGGCUGACCUACCAACCAAAGAACAUAUAUGGGCUGAACCUAGACCUCCCUGAACAUAUGUAGCAGAUAUACAGCUUGGCCUUCAUGUGAGUCCUGAACAAUUGGAGCGGGGGCUAUCCCAAAAGUUGUUGCCUGUUUUGGGGAUAUGUUCUACUAGCUGAACUGCCUUGGUUGGCCUCAGUGGUAGAGGAAGCACCUAGCCUCUUGAGACAGAGACUUGAAGUACCUGAUUGGGGGGAAUCCCCAGGGGCCCCUGCCCACUCAGAGGAGAAGGGGAGAGGAGGAUGGGAGAAGGGUUGAGGAAGGGGUGAUUGGGAGGGGGACAGUGAGUGCCAUGUAAAUUGAGUACAAAUUUAAUAAAAAAAAUUGGGCUGGUGAGAUGGCUCAGUGGGUAAGAGCACCGACUGCUCUUCCAAAGGUCACGAGUUCAAAUCCCAGCAACCAUAUGGUGGCUCACAACCAUCUGUAACGAGAUCUAACUCCCUUUUCUGAGUGUCUGAAGACAGUGUACUUACAUAUAAUAAAUAAAUAAAUCUUUAAAAAAUAAAAGA